UACGUAGGGUGCGAGCGUUAAUCGGAAUUACUGGGCGUAAAGCGUGCGCAGGCGGUUUUGUAAGCCAGAUGUGAAAUCCCCGGGCUUAACCUGGGAAUGGCAUUUGGGACUGCAAGGCUGGAGUACGGCAGAGGAGACUGGAAUUCCUGGUGUAGCAGUGAAAUGCGUAGAGAUCGGGAGGAACAUCUGUGGCGAAGGCGACUGCCUGGACCAGCACUGACACUGAGGCACGAAAGCGUGGGGAGCAAACAGG
rnacentral:rRNA from 1 species